ensembl:piRNA 21ur-944 ncRNA
UAUGUCACGAGAUUGGUUUAC